AUUGAACGCUGGCGGCAGGCCUAAAACAUGCAAGUCGAGCGAGCGGCGGACGGGUGAGUAAUGUAUGGGGACUGCCCGAUAGAGGGGGAUAACUACUGGAAACGGUAGCUAAUACCGCAUACUAUCGGAUAACCCAUAUGGGAUUAGCUAGUAGGUGAGGUAAUGGCUCACCUAGGCGACGAGCCCUAGCUGGUCUGAGAGGAAGAUCAGCCCCACUGGGACUGAGACACAGCCCAGCCUCCGACGGAGGCAGCAGUGGGGAAUAUUGCACAAUGGGCGCAAGCCUGAUGAAGCCAUGCCGCGUUGAUGAAGAAGACCCGAGGUUUGUAAAGUACUUUCACUCGGGAGGCGUUACCGACAGAAGAAGCACCGGCUAACUCCGUGCCAGCAGCUGCGGUAAUUC
rnacentral:rRNA from 1 species